GCCUACGGCCAUCCCACCCUGGUAACGCCCUGAUCUCGUCUGAUCUCGGAAGCUAAGCAGGGGGCCUGGUUAGUACUGUGAUGGGAGGACCUCCUGGAAUACCGGGUGCUGUAGGCU
ensembl:rRNA 5S_rRNA 5S ribosomal RNA